GUGGACUGUAGUAUUGCGUUGUUCAAUACAGAAAAAGAUUAGAAUGAAGUACCUUAUCCUAGCAACUCUUGUGGUACUUCUUUUGGUUUCACCUGGUGAUUGUGGGUGGACUAGAGCGAUCAGAAGGGCUAGUGAAAGAUUCGCAAGAACUCCAACCGGUCGAUUUUUCAGAUUGUAUCGUGACCACCUUAAUGGCAGAAGUAUUCCGAUAGAUGAUAUACCAUACGAUGAAUGAAGACACCGAGAAUGGAAACUGAUUUAAAAAACGGAAAUAAUCAGUUCAAUGAAUAAAACAAUAUAAUUCCA